rnacentral:misc_RNA from 1 species
CUUUCUUUUUCUUUUUCUUUUUUUUCCAUUUUCAAGAUUCUCCACCUUUGUUUUUUUAUAUUCAACCCAGGGAGAAAGAGGACAUCAGAUGAAUGAAUUUUCAUCACACAAAAGACCAGUUUACAAAGGAGAAGGCAAGGCAAUGAACAGUGUCCUCAUCUGCAGCAAGGACUUUCCAUGCAAUAGCUUGCUCAUACGAAACAUGACGCCCCAUUGUCGACAUGCAGAUUCCACCCGGCAAGUAUGUGAAUCCCUGUUGCAUUAACUUUGCAAAUUCUGCACACAGUGCCUUGCGUCCAGAUUCAUCAAAUAUCUUAUCCAAUGUGAUGUCUUGGAGAGCCACCAAAGUUGUCUCAAGCAUGUCGAGCCCCGCCUGAUUGGCAAAGAUGAAAACUGGAAGCGACUUCAAUGAACAACAUAAGAUGGCAUCCUGAUGAUGCCAUAGAUGUUUCAACACAGAAUCUCCCCCAAGAGAAUCAGACCUCAGCAAUUCGGCCCCUAAAUAGUAACUAUAACUUUGGCAGAUCCAGUGAGACAAGGUAAGAGCUUCAGGAGAACCAGGAGAUAACUUAGGUCCCACAGCUAGGCUCAAUCCUGAUGGAGAUAUAGCCAUGGCCACCCUCUGUACGGAGGAAAUCACACUGCGUACAUAUUGACGAGCCAUGGUGGCAACAUUGUCCUGUAAGUUGUUCUCAAAAGGGAACUGAAAGGCAAUAGUCAAGACUGAUCGUGUACUAUGAGAUGAUGACACAUCUCCAGCAGCAUGAUUUGUUGCAGGACCCACUUCAAGACUAGUUGUGAGAUCCAGGGUGCGAGAUGUAUUCAUCACAUCCGGGGCAUCCUUCUGUAGAUUUACAACAUUAGUAUACUUGAUAAAAACAAUGUAAACAUUCCCCCAAGACUAAAUUCAAACUCAAGACACUUUUACUUUUCCAAGUGGUAGAUCUAAUACGAGCCUCAUUGUGCCUCAAUUCCCGUGUAUCAGAUGAUUGCAAAGGCACUUCACCAUAAGGAAUUCCAUAGGGUCAAGUACAAUUGAAGUUAAGCCUAAUAUUUUGUUAUUUUCAACAUUGAUACUAAAUCAACAACCAUAAAUGAUGUAAGAAAGUAGAGUUAAAUGUGAAGUCUAGUUUGACUUAACUGUUUUUGAAUCCAAAGGAAUGACGCGGAAACCAGAAGGCAAUAGUGGAGCAUCAUCAGGAAACAUUUCAUCAAUUGGAGCAAAAACAAGUUCCGAGCAAGCACCAACAGCAUUUUCAUCAAUUCCACUGCAUAUCUGCCAAAAAAAAAUAAAUGAAGGCCAUUAAGGAACAUGCAUAUGGUUAAAGAAAAUAACUAGGCCUCUCAAAGCCAACUAAAACAGCAUGGCAACUACUACCCCCAAGGAAUUCCCCAAAGUCUGUUCAAUGGUAGUGAGGAAAUUCAACUUUAAUAAUACUCCUAAGGUAACAGAUCUGAACCUGGACCCUUCAACCUGGCUUCCUCAUCCCAAAAUAAACAUGUCCAAGUUGAACAUGUAAAAAAAAGAUGUGAGAUAAGAAUUAAUUGAGCCCAACAAAUCUACAUAUGAAUUGCAAUUGUAUGAACCACCAAACUCAAGUAAACUAAACAAAACCUUUGUAAUAGUUGCAAUAGCAAACAAACAAUGCCUAUAAAAUGCCAAAAAUAGUACCUGUAAGAGAUGAAUGUCCCUUGAAACAAAAGCAUCCUCUUGCAAAAGAGAAUGGCCUUCCAGUCGAAUAACUUCAAGCAAUUCUUCAUGUUCAAUUGUAUGGCCAAGUGGCAUAAUGAUUUGGCUUCCAGUGAACCUUGCGGGCCUCAUUCCUGGAAAUGCAUAUGAACCGGCCUUCAAUGAUGCAGCAGAAUAUGCAUCAACAUUAAAAUCAGCCCAUUCAGAUCGGUGUUCUCUUAGGAAGCGAACCAGGACUGCAGGAGGGACAUUUUGCAAUAGCAUGGAAGCCUUUGCACAUAGAAUCCCUCCAAGGAAUGAAAGGGCAUUAGCAGGAUUGGAAGUGCUGCUCAAGUUCUUGGUUGAAUUAACAGCAAUGAUAACAUCUUCAGCUCCAUCACAACUCGUCAGUGACCAGCCAUCAUCAUUAAAACCAUUGAUUGCAUCAUUGAAUCCUCUGCUUAAUCUUUGGCUAAAAGUUCUCAAAACAGCUGGUUGCCGGCCUAAACCAUAUACCACCUCACCACUGGUCUCUUGAGCUAUCUGCCUGAUAUAACGCAGGGCCUUCACAGAAUCAAGCCAAUUAGUACCUUCUCCUAGUAAUUGGAGAAAACAAGGAAGGCAGAGAAUGUUGUUGAAACUUGCCCAAUCUGCUUUCCCCUCCCCCAAAAGAAACCAAAUGGACUCCAAAUAGAAAGAUUCUAUUUUCUUUCAUGAUAAAAACAGAGGCAAAACAAAACAUGUAUACAAAAAGGAUCAUGCCUACAUUUCAACACAAGCCAUAAUUUUCAUUUUUCAGAAGAAGGCCCUGCAACUUAACAGUCCUACAAGAUGCAGCAGAACCUAGUUGUUAAAAUUAUCUACAAAUUCUAUAAAUCAGAUAAUUUCUUGCUCAGUGGUGGUCAGCAACUGCUCAAUCAUGCUCUAUGGACUGCUAACUAUCGAAUUUGUUUGAAGGACAGUGGACCACCAUGCAUCCCUCUUUCCUUAAGCAACCACAUCUCAGAAGAAUAGCCCAAUAUGUCCAACAGGCCAAACUCAACUCACCGCAAUUGUCGUUUUCUGGGCCACAACUUUUGAUGAUUCAUAAAGAGGUCGCAGCACCUCAGGAACACUCCAUGCCUCAAGAUUCAGGUGAUCCACUAUGUGGAUAAUCGACCCUCCACCGUCACAUGGCCUUAUCAAAUAGCCACUGGGAAGCAUUUCAGCCCUCACAAACUGAGAAGCAGCUGCUGCAUUUGGACCAGCACCAGAACCAGAAAGAGAUCUCUCACAGACCACAAGACUGCCAUUCUCUAAGCUUGUAGUGUAUCUCAAAGUCCAGAAAUCCCGUGCAGGAGCCAGAGUUGUUGGAGCAUAUACCUGACUGUAUACUAGUUCAAUUGUUCCACCAUUUCCUGCAGGAAACAUGGUGAAAACUUCAAGGCUCCGACAAUCCCGGAACCAAGAUGGACGAUCUUUAAGGAUCUCCGCAAUCUUCGUAGGUUCUAAGCUUACAAGACCGCAAGCUCGAGCUGCCACCCCACUGCAACUUUGUGAAAUGGCAAAGAUCCCAACCGAAUCCGGACCAGGCUUCAUCCCAGGCAUUUGGACCCACUCGACAGCAGUUCCUGUGGCCUUUGAUAGAAACUCUGCUAAAGUCUCCUCUGCAAUGGACAAAAGUCCUGCAGGGCUGGCAUCCCUUGGUGGACGCUGAGGAGUCAAAUGGUGCUGACCACUGGUCACCACUGAUUCACAGCUUGUGUCUGUGGUGGCAAGGUUGGUGGCAUUUUGUGUCUGUUGGCGGAAAUAGCUGUUCUCAUAGACCAGCUGAGACACCUGCUUUUGCAAUCUAUCAUUCUCUUCCAUCAGCAACUUAUUCAUCGCCGUCAACUUCCUAUUCACAGCUUGAAGCCGCGAUGCCUCUUUUCGCUGCUUCUCUCUACAUCGUCGAUUUUGAAACCAAACUUUGAUCUGCUUGGGCUCUAUGUUGGAGAGAAUAGGGCAUUCCCUGAUCAACUGUUGGCGGCGCAUAGAGCUUGGCUUAGGACAUUCAUGGUAGAGUCUCUCAAGCGCUUCCACCUGCUCCGGUGUGUACCUAACGUACUUGCCGUUGUCCAUUGCCAUCUUGCUUCCCCCAUCCUUGCAGGCCGAAGUUACCGCCAUCAUCACUUCGUUUCACGAAACACUGCGCAGAUCGGGUCGCCGCCCCUUCUGCCUCAAAUCAAUAACAUGAAGCUUUCAAGGCAGAUUCGGUAACCCCUUAAGCUCAAACACACAGAGAGGCCAGAAAUUAUAUAGAUAUUCAAAAGGGUAGAAACAAAAAAGUUGGCGGCUUUAUGGAAUGAAUUGAAGAGGGUGCUUACAGGGAAAGCUAAGGAGGAAGGAGAUCAAGAGUUGAAGGAGAGGGGGAGAGAUAAAUGGUGAUAUUGGGAUUGGGGAAGGAGAAAAGAUCCUAAAUACCAGACAGGAUAUCAGAGCAUGUUUUCUGCUUUGUUUUGUGUUGGUUCACAUCACAUUCCCAUCCCAUAGAAAUCCUUUAUUAACCUUCUUUUUUUUCUCUGUUUUGUUUUUAAAAUAAAAUAGUCUGGGAUCUUUCUUUCUUUUUUCCCUAAUUCUACUGUAGGAUUAGUCUCUUUUUUUUUUUUUUUUUUUU